rnacentral:lncRNA from 1 species
GCUCUUAGGGUCACAUGUGUUGGACGUGUUUGCUAUUGUUUUUAAGAUGUGUGUCUCUUACUGCAUUUAGGGACCACAGGGCAAGCCUGGCCUCCCUGGCCUUCCCGGUUCUGAUGGCCCUCCUGGUCACCCUGGAAAAGAGGGUCAGUCUGGAGAUAAAGGGGCAUUGGGGCCUCCAGGUCCUCAGGGUCCAAUUGGAUAUCCAGGUCCUCGUGGUGUAAAGGUAAGAUUGAGUUACUGGAUCCCUCCUCUCACACCUUUUGAAUCUCACUCGAUUUGAAUCUCACUGGAUUGCUCCUCUCACGCCUUUUGUAAUCUUCCUUUAGGGUGCUGAUGGUGUACGUGGACUCAAGGGAUCCAAAGGUGAAAAGGGUGAAGAUGGUUUUCCAGGAUUUAAAGGUGACAUGGGUCUUAAAGGUGACCGGGGAGAAAUUGGUCAGCCAGGUCCACGAGGAGAAGAUGGCCCAGAAGGUCCAAAAGGUCGAGCUGGUCCAUCUGGGGACCCAGGUGCUGCUGGUCCAGCUGGGGAAAAGGUCAGUAGCCAGAAAUCAACAUAAGCAUGCCAUUGCCUCAUAGCAUAGAUGGAAUCUGUAAUCUCCAUCACUCAGAAACAAGCCCUCAGAUCUGCAAAGUCUGCAACAGAGCACUGGAGUUCCCAUUUGAUCAAGGACUGGGAAUCCUUAUCUUGUAAGUAUACAAAGAGACAUGGUAGUACUCCACCAGAACA